GACGAACGCUGGCGGCGUGCCUAACACAUGCAAGUCGAGCGGAGACAGUGAGUAGCUUGCUAUGAGCUGUUUUAGCGGCGGACGGGUGAGUAACGCGUGAGCAACCUUUCCCAGACAGGGGAAUAACACACCGAAAGGUGUACUAAUACCGCAUAAGACCACGGUUUCACAUGGAACUGAGGUAAAAGAUUUAUCGGUUUGGGGUGGGCUCGCGUCCGAUUAGGUAGUUGGUGAGGUAACGGCCCACCAAGCCGACGAUCGGUAGCCGACCUGAGAGGGUGAUCGGCCACAUUGGGACUGAGACACGGCCCAAACUCCUACGGGAGGCAGCAGUGGGGAAUAUUGGGCAAUGGAGGAAACUCUGACCCAGCAACGCCGCGUGGAGGAAGAAGGUUUUCGGAUCGUAAACUCCUGUCCUUGGA
rnacentral:rRNA from 1 species